AUUGAACGCUGGCGGCAGGCCUAACACAUGCAAGUCGAACGAGUGGCGGACGGGUGAGUAAUGUCUGGGAAACUGCCUGAUGGAGGGGGAUAUCGACUGGAAACGGUAGCUAAUACCGCAUACCAUCAAAUGUGCCCAGAUGGGAUAAGCAUGUUGGUGGGGUAACGGCUCACGAAGGCGACGAUCCCUAGCUGGGCUGAUAGGAUGACCAGCCACACUGGAAACGAGACACGGGCCAGACUCCUACGGGAGGCAGCAGUGGGGAAUAAGGCACAAUGGGCGCAAGCCUGAAGCAGCCAUGCCGCGUGUAUGAAGAAGGCCUGCGGGUUGUAAAGUACUUUCAGCGGGGAGGCGUUACCCGCAGAAUAAGCACCGGCUAACUCCGUGCCAGGAGCCGCGGUAAUUC
rnacentral:rRNA from 1 species